UUGAAUGCUCGAUCAUGGAAUAAUAAAAGAGGACUUCGGUUCUAUUUGUUGGUUCAGGAACUGAAUUAAUGGUUAAGAGGGACAACUCGGGGGCAUUCGUAUCCCUGCGCGAGAGGUGAAAUUCGUGGACCGCAGGGGGACGCCCUAAAGCGAAAGCAUUUGCCAAGAAUGUCUUCAUUAAUCAAGAACGAAAGUCAGAGGUUCGAAGGCGAUUAGAUACCGCCCUAGUUCUGACCGUAAACUAUGCCAUCUAGCGAUCCAAUGGGGUAUUGUAGCCUUGUUGGGGAGCUUCCCGGAAACGAAAGUUUUCGGUUCCUGGGGUAGUAUGGUUGCAAAGCUGAAACUUAAAGAAAUUGACGGAAGGGCACCACCAGGAGUGGAGCCUGCGGCUUAAUUUGACUCAACACGGGAAAACUCACCCGGCCCGGACACCGUUAGGAUUGACAGAUUGAAAGCUCUUUCUCGAUUUGGUGGUUGGUGGUGCAUGGCCGUUCUUAGUUGGUGGAGCGAUUUGUCUGGUUUAUUCCGAUAACGAGCGAGACUCUAGCCUGCUAAAUAGUGUCCAGAUAUAUAAGUCUGGCUUACUUCUUAGAGGGAUAAGCGGUGUUUAGCCGCACGAGAUUGAGCGAUAACAGGUCUGUGAUGCCCUUAGAUGUUCGGGGCUGCACGCGCGCUACACUGGAAGAAUCAGCUGGUCCUUCCAUUGCCGAAAGGUAUUGGUAAACCGUUGAAACUCUUCCGUGACCGGGAUAGGGAAUUGUAAUUAUUUCCCUUGAACGAGGAAUUCCUAGUAAGUGUGAGUCAUCAGCUCACGUUGAUUACGUCCCUGCCCUUUGUACACACCGCCCGUCGCUGUCCGGGACUGAGCUGUUUCGAGAAGAGUGGAGACUGCUGUAUUGGGGCUUUCGGGCUCUGGUAUGAUGGAAACCAUUUUAAUCGCAAUGGCUUGAACCGGGCAAAAGUCGUAACAAGGUAUCUGUAGGUGAACCUGCAGAUG
rnacentral:rRNA from 1 species